rnacentral:tRNA from 2 species
GCGGACGUGGCGGAAUCGGUAUACGCAGCAGACUUAAAAUCUGCCGGCCCUUGGUCUUGCGGGUUCAAGUCCCGCCGUCCGCACCA